UGAUGGGGUCCUGUCAGGGACCAUGGGGGUCAAUGAGCACCCAGGGGGGAUCUUGGAUGUGUAAAGGAGGUCUGAGGGAGGAAAUAGGAGGAUUCCAUGGAAUGGAAUAGGAGAAUUCCCAUGUCCAGUGGGGGACAUGGGGUGCUGCUAUGGACUGUGAGGCUCCAUGUGAGAAUGGGCCAGCUACGGGGGAGGUGUACUGCGUCUGAGGGGGUCCUUGAGGGGCUCCAGGGCUCUGUGGGGGGCUACAGGGUGUCUCUAGGGGUCUUGCUGGGAAACACUGGGAGGGAUAUAUGGGCUCUGAGGGAAUGAUGGGUGGGCUGUCAUGGAAAAGGAAAGGGCAGCCUUGGGGAAAGCAAGGGGCAGCUAGGGGGAUGGAAGGGAAUCCUACAGGAACGCAAGGGGAAUCCAGGCUGAGGCAAGGGGACAGCUGGGGGAACAACAGGGGAACGUCCCAGCAACGGACUUCUUCUUUCACAUCCACAUCUUCUGCUUCCCAACUGAGCUGCAAAGCUGCCAGAGGAGCUGCAGUACCGCUGCCCGACUCCUGCCUGUGUCAGAAAGAGCUGCACGUUGGCGGAGUGCAAUUGUCAUUCAUAAAGCCAACUCCAUCACUGCAGUCACAACACCACAACCUUCAGUAUCUGCUACAGGCAGACGACCAU
ensembl:lncRNA